CAGAAGAUAAAAGAUCAUGGUAAAUUAUUAGUAGUAAUUUCCUUUUUCCGAGCUAACUGAGAAACGCGUGAGUGAUGAAGGAUCUUGAAUGAUCAAAGGUAUAUGCUUGAAAGAGAGACUCGCUAUCCCUCAUGGAUAUCACUACUCAUAUAAAACCGAGAUCCUGCCAUGAUGAAAUAGUAGGCAAACUUGUUCUAUGUGAAACAAUGUGCACCUCUUUCUUGCUAAGUUUUGCCACUGAAACAAUUUAUGCUAUGGACGAAACGUAAUUUGUAGCACUAAGGGCACUCAAAGCAUGAAGAAUCAAGAUAAUGGACAAGCGGCAUGUUGCUAGGGAAGCAUAAUGCAGAAGGUCUAUGAAUCCAUAAUGUAUAUGUAAGGACAUAAAUAACACUGAGAUAUGAAAACAACAAGAUAAAUUAGUCACACGUGAACUUAUCAACUUUUUAAAACUUCCAUACAUAAAUCACACAUAUGUACACAAACACAUACCUGUGUCGGUAAGCAUAUAUACAAUUACACAAGCACCUCCCAGGGAACUAGGUCACCCAGACUGGCAGGAUUG
rnacentral:lncRNA from 1 species